GUCCAAAUCCUUAAAUUAAUUUAAUCAGUAAUAUUUACAAUACAGGAGCCAUCCAACAGACUGUGGAGAGGAUAAACAUGAUUAAAAGAAAUAUAUCUGAAAUGUUUUCUGAGUUUAUCUUCCCUUGUGACGCCAAAAAAAUCCUGGAACACAUUUUAUGUGUAUUUAUAAAAAGCAGGCUGAUUAUUACACAAACCCUCAAACUAGGAGAACCCCUACACGAACAAAAGAGUCAAAGUGAAACAAAGACAGAAAACUUCUCCUGAACGCCAAAGAUCCCUCAGAGAGCCAUCCAGAAGCUUCUGUCUCCACACCCCAAAGAAAUGCCCGCCAAAAUAAAAGAGAACACUUUAAACCAAUGGAGCAGAAAUCCACAAUUUAUACCAACAAUUUCUGAACCAACAUUACUUUCCUUAUUAUAAAACUGUAAGAUUGUACACUACAUAAAAUAAUUGUAUUUUACAACAAUAGAACUUUAGGCAGUAAAAUAGGUUUUGAUUGAGGUAAUUACAUCAUGGUUCUUGUACAGAGUAAAAAAUAAAAAAAAUAGAUUUCAUUUGUUUUUUCCCUAAAAACUCGGCGGACCGACUAACCGACCAACCAACUGACAGACUUACCGACUAACCAACCGACCAACCAUCCGACAGACCAACCAACUUACUGUACAACCAACCAACUGACCAACCACUCAGCGGGUUAAGCUCAGGGUUUAGGUCGCUGUCAUUUCUUUUCUGUCUGCCGUUUCAUCUACAAAACCUCCUCAAACCAGAUUUAAGUUUUUAACAAGGACGUCGACACAGAAUCAGUUUGGUAGAACCUGUUCAAUCACCUCCACCUGUCCACUCUGAGUCACUGGACUGAGUGAGUCAUGUUUGAGACCAGACUUAAGGUAUAACAAGCUCUUUCAAAACCUUUAAAAAUAUCCUCUUUGCUGUAGUUAUACUUUUUUUUUGGGAUUGAUCCUGAAGCUCCUUUAGACUGUUUCUUUGAAAAACAUUCAUAUGAACGGGUCAUCAACUUGGACAUGAAGACCCAGAUCUAUUCUCUUUGGUGACACCUCUGGUCUUAAGCAGAAGUGGUCGUUAAUAUAAGAUUCGUCCUUUUAGAAGUUAAAGACUGAUUGUACUUCACUGCUCUCCAGUGUUUAGCCCUUUGAAGAAACAGGAACCUGUUUUUAAAUAAUAACCCAUCAGGAGGCAAAAACCAACAAGAACCAUCAGGUCCUGAAGACUUUGAUCAAAUCCCUGGACUGUAUUCAUUCAAAGGUUUUCUCCAAGAGGAUGUACCUGAGUCCAAAUCUGUCUCUUCAGAACAUAGAAAAGCAACAACAAACCGUGAAUUCACACUGUCCUCUGAACAUCUGGUCCAUGACCAGACUCAGCACCUUCUCGUUAUUAAGUACAGACAGUUCUAAACUCAAGUAAAAGAUCUGUUUCCAUCGCAAAGUUUCCAUACUUGGGAAAUCUCACUAACCCACAUAAACCAGUUUACACCUCUCGUAUUUUCCCUACCUGCUCCAACCUUCCCUCAUCUAUAGCAAGACCCUCCCUCAUACCAACACUUCUACUGCCAUGAGAGUCCAAAUCAGAGAUCCAACUCCCAACUUUCAUCUAGAAACAACCAAAGUACUCUGGUGGACACGUCUCUACAGCAAGUUUGGACCUGUAGGGAGAACAGACCUUCAGUUUGGAACAAGCUACUACUGUAGUUAAACCUUAAAUCGAUUGAACCUCAAUCUGGAUCACAGUUAUGAGAACAAACACAGACCACCAUGUCAGCAUACAAGCUAAUUAUUCUGUGAACCUCAAAACUACCCAGUACUGGAUCUCAAACAUGACUCGGGACAGCCAGAACGUCCCUCUGAGGACAUGGAGGUGAUUCUAACAAGAAUCAAGGCACAAAUCUGGACAAGACCUGACACAUUUUGAAGAAUGACUUAUUGCACCUUGUUCAAAUGGAGACGGACACGCUGCACAUACAGCACCUGCACACACCGCCAAAGUUUCUAAAAAUACCCUCUGAGGUGAAGUCUGAGAUUUUCCGAACCUUUUUCACCCAGAGGUCUUUCACCAGGAGGGAUGAUCCUUCAGGAGAUAGAGGUUCUGUAGAGUAGUAAAAUAUAGGAGAUAUUUUGGUAUCAGUGGUCCAGUCCUGGUUCCUUGGCUGAUGGGAAAUAACAUUCAGUCAGUAAGCUCACUAUUUUUCGCCUGAGCUCACAGUUGCAUUUUACCCAUUCAAGUCUUGAGAAGGAUUAGCCAACUCUCUUUGACCCGUCCAGACAGACCUCUGAAGUCUGUGUUUGCAUGUCACUGAGGACUCGGGUAGGUCAUUACGGUACAGAUGAUCUGUCUUGGACCAGCAUCUCCUCACACUUUACAACUCGACCAACUCUACAAGGCAACAUAUCUUCAAAAUGACCCGGGAGUCUCAAGAGUCCAAUCACAGACAACAUAAUAGAAAGAAGAUGGUUGUUUUUGGACUUUUUGGUAGGAAUAGAAGACCUGCCAUCGUAAAGACCUUCUGUAGCCGUGUCACCAGUAUUUACUUGUCCUGCACAGUUUUAAACAAAUGGGUUCCAUACAGAUCUAGUGUGCAACAUACUGUUAGGGCUAUACUGGAACACAAUGGGGCCUAUCAGGACCCGAUGUGAAAGGACCUAACCCCUGUUCUUCUCUCUGGUGAUGGUCUGCUGCCAUGAAUCAGCAGUUUUCUCUGAUGGACUAUGGUAUACUGGCCAAUGUAGUGCAGGUAUCUCUUACAGUAGUCCGAAAAUCAAGAGUCCAGUAUUUAUUAAGAGGUCCGGGCUGGAUUGAAGAGUCCACCGAAGACCGACUGAACAACAAAAAAAGUUUCAGAAAUCUUCAACUUGAGAAUGAUUGUGAGAAACAGUCACGUUAACAAACUGAAAUGAUACAGUACAACAUCUGUGACAGAUGUUCUAGCAGCUCGCUGACCCUUAAUUUUGAAGUCUGAGUUCAAAUCAACCAAACCAGGAGACUUAGUAGUCUGAUCCGUGUGUCAAGAUCCUUCAACUCUUCAGUCAUGGUAGAGUUUUUAGAUCCAACAGUUUCUUCCAACAAACACACUGUUGUCCCUGUGAUAUCCUGAGUUUAACUCUGUACAGCUGCUGCGCGAACAACAGCUAGACUUAACCGAAGUCUAGAGAGAUGGCUGCUGAAGCAUCUGCUUGUUGGACAGGUCAGGUUUAUGAGCUCUUGUUGCUGAAUCUCUGGAGGCCCCGUCCAAUCAGGAGAAUUGAAAUGAAGUGAAGUGAAAUGAAGAUUGAAAGUUUCCGUCCAAAGAAAGCAAAAAGUCCUGCACACAAAGCAACACCUGUCCAAAAGACAUGCUUCAGGUCACCUGUGAGCUUAAGGGAGGGAGGGGGGUUUAUUUCAAAGAAAGAGUGUUUAGAAGGGAUCAAGAGCUGAUUGGUUAUUUCUGCUCCUGUCCCUAUUAUAAACAUGUCUGUAAGGCUUUCAUGGAUCGAGGCUGGUUCCCUAUCCAGGCUCUGUGUUCAGGAUCAGAGGCCGCAACCACUUCAUUUCCCUACUCUAUCUACAGCACCUGAAUCUACCAUCAAACCCUAUCAAAGCUGCGUUCAAAAGGUAAAUCAGCGAUUUCCUUUAAACUCGUGAGAACUGUUUCUUUCUGUCUGACUUCAUGAAGAGCUGAAAUCACGAGUGACAAGCAACAAAAUCCACAUCAGACCCUCCAAACUCUGACACACCUGGUCUAUCUAAGUCUAAAAUCCACAUAUUCUUCAAAAGGAUCACACUCAGACGCAGUGCAGCAGGUAGUAACAGGUGUGAAAAGUGAGACUUGAACAUUGUAAAGACACACAGGACACAGUGAAAAUGAGGGCGGACACACACAGGAGGACCCAGAGCGUCAGAUGGAUCUGCUUCAGUUCAUAGAGCCUCAUGUGCCGACAGUCUGAGGUCUGUUCAGACCGCUGAGGAACCACAUCUUUAAAGCUGAGCUCAGAUUCAAGCAGAUUUUGGUCUCACAAGACUCUGACUGAAGGCUAAUUUCUGUGCUUUAGAAUCGGCCGUGUGUUUCCACAAGCUCAGCUGCCACUACCACUGACACGGACACACAGGUUGAGAACUUUUUAAAGGACAUUACACCAUUUUUGGAUCGGAAGCAGACAGACAAUCUAUGCAGACCCAAAACAUCAGUGCAGAGACCAGGAGGACACGCUUAUCUUCUCAAGAAGAACAGGCUUGCAGAAAACUGGACACUGCGAGUUUGACAUUUGUUUCCUCAGUUAGUGGUCUGAGCUUCUGUCUGAAUAUCUUGAAUUUAGAUUAUUUUAGGAACCUGCUCUUCAUGGGGAUUUUUUUUUGUAUUUUUCUAACUGUUUAUGAACCUCGUCUCUGUGAAAAUGUCACUUUUUAAACACUGAAUCUUCAUCCCCGAUCUGUUCAUACUGUCUCCUGUGUGUGUCCUGUUAGUGUGUGUCCUGUGUGUGUGUUUGUGUUUGUGUGUGUGCGUCCUGUGUGUUGAAGCCCUUAGACAUAAAGCCACUGUUUGUCUUUAAGGCUUCACUGUUUGGAGAGUGUGUGUGUGUGUGUGUGUGUGUGUGUGUGUGUGUGUGUGUGUGUGUGUGUGUGUGUGUGUGUGUGUGUGUGUGUGUGUGUGUGUGUGUAGAAAAGUCUGAUAACAAGGCUGUACUGUGACAUAUUGCAUAAAUCACCUUCUUCAUCAUCAUCUUCUUCACCUCUACGGUGUGUUAGAACUCACAAUCAAAUCUAAGUCUUAUUAGCAUUUUGAGUUAGCACUGCACGUUAGCAUCGUUAGCUCCCUGUAACACACAAACCAGAACAGGACAUAAGUGCAAGAGAGAGAGUGAGAGUGUGUGAG
rnacentral:lncRNA from 1 species